rnacentral:rRNA from 1 species
UACGUAGGGCGCAAGCGUUAUCCGGAAUUAUUGGGCGUAAAGAGCUCGUAGGCGGUUUGUCGCGUCUGCUGUGAAAGACCGGGGCUCAACCCCGGACUUGCAGUGGGUACGGGCAGACUAGAGUGUGGUAGGGGAGACUGGAAUUCCUGGUGUAGCGGUGAAAUGCGCAGAUAUCAGGAGGAACACCGAUGGCGAAGGCAGGUCUCUGGGCCACUACUGACGCUGAGAAGCGAAAGCAUGGGGAGCGAACAGG